rnacentral:lncRNA from 1 species
GUCCAAACCUCUGGUUUUAAUGAUGUUGUCUUCUUAAACCAUGGGCUGUAGAGUGCUGAAUAUCAAACACUGUUCAGCACACCCUGAUGUGAAAUAUUUCCCUCUCUGGCAGCUGUGCCACAUAAUAAGUGUUAAAAAAAUGCACAGAUGAGGAGAUUAGGCAAAUGGUUUAGUGGUGGAGCCGGUCCUGUAAGGUUGGUAACUGGACUUGAUGGCCUUAGAGGUCGUUUCCAAGCUUAAUGAUUCAGUAAUUCCUAUCUGGAACUGGAACAAGCCCCUUCCCAGGACACUGAGUGCAAAACUUGUGUUUUUCCAGCCCCUGUGUGCCUGUGUCUCUACCCCUCCCUGUCCUCUCCCAGGGUGAACUGUCCAGGAGAACGUGGUCCCCAGUGCUGCUCCCCUCUGCUCCCACCUCAGAGCAAGGGCAGCCACCCCUGUGAGUGCCACGUUUUGGGGGAACCAGGGAGGAACCAGGGUGGCAUUAGAGGCAGAACUCACUUGAAAAGAAAUAAAAGAAGAAAAAAAGGAAAAAAAAGCCUCCUUCCAAGAAGAAUUUAGAUCCAUACACAGCUCAGCCAGGGCCCAAUUCCAGACUGCUGUUGGAGGUGAGUAAACCAGAAGGAUCAGCUUGUUCUGGAUGGAAAUGUGUCUACAGCAAAGGCCAGCUUGGAAAUACAGCUUUGUUUUUCAGCCAAAAAUCAGACAGAAAUGGUCACAGCUGAAAUGUUACAUCAGGCCCUGGUAACUGCUCAGAGCAAACCACACAGCUGCUUAGGAAAGCAUGACUUAAAAUCUAUUUUAUUUCAGGUAAAAUUGUGAAUGUUCCUGUGUCAUUUCCAUGAGUGCCAUGGUUCCUGCAAGUACCAGGUAUAAAAAGGAAAAAAAAAAAAAAGGAAAAUAUCUGCAUUUUUAAGAUGCUUUCACAAUGCUUUGAGAUAAUUUUGUGAUUGGAGGGGAUUAGGUAUUUACCUAUGCUUUUAGUAGUAUUAUGAGAUUUAUGCUGUUAGAUCAUCCUCUUUGCCCACAUCAAAUGAUCUUUAUCAUGGCUAGUACUAAGCUAGUCAGAAAUGUUUAUUAGAAAUU